UGUAAUUAUUACUUAUGAAGGAAUAUCAUUCACGUGUUACUAAACCUAGCCACGCGAAAGUGAACGAGGUGCCCCUUUCCUUGGUGAAUUUGGUCCGGCCGCCCCUCUGCCUGUCCUCCACGUCCCCUGGAUGUCCGGUUACCCCGGCGACUACGUGCCGCGUCCAAACAUCCUGCUCAACGUGCCGGGGUUUCACCCCGUGCCCGCUGGGCUUUACAGCUACGGCCCCCGCGGGCCCCCGGCGUUCCUCCACUACCCGCCUCCACCGCGGCCUGGGGCCGCUGCUGUGAUCCUCUGUGCACGCCAGCCGCCCCGGGAGCCGCCGCCGCCGCCGCCUCCCUCCGAACACACUGAGCCAGACGUGGAAGUGGAUUAAAGCAGCCAGCUGGUUCACAGUUUGUUAUCGAAUCUGUUCGUUUUCCCCUUCUGUUUUGUACCGAUGACAGUUCUGUUCACACUGAUGGCAUAAAUGUUUCUGCACAGUUUGUUUGUGCAAUAUAUCGAUAUUAAAUAAGGCUUUGACAUUAAAAAAAUAAGUCCGUUAUGGUUCUUAUUUUGUAUGUGUUAUUUUACUCCACAAAGAAAAAUAAAAUAUCUUUUCAUAAA
ensembl:lncRNA